CGAGUCAAUAUUCACGUAACGAUAAGAAAUUCCCCUCGGCCACGCCGAAAAAUUGGGGGAAACAUACAUUAAUUCCCAUUGACCCUCAUUGUAAAAGAGCCAACUUCGUCAUUGACUUUUUUUGUUUUACAUAAAUAACAAAACAUGCCGAAAAGCUGCUGUGUUGUUCAAUGUACAUGUAACCAGGCCAAAAAUCCUGACCUACGGUUUGCAAUGAUCCCACGUAAGGAUAUAGACCCUGCGAGAAGAAGCCCUGUGGCUUCAGGCUAUUCGGCAUGGGAGAGUGGGAACUUGAGAUCCUGUGCGUAUGGAAAACAUUUCAUCACAGCAAAAUCAAUGACGAGACCUUCAUGCUGCCCGUCUCUGCAUGAUUGAAGAAGGCAAUGAGCUCCGUAAUGUCUUUUAAAAAUGACGGGUGGGGAAGCGAAACCUACUGCGUGAUAGGGAAACGGGAAGAUAAGCCGUGUGGGGAAACGGCUUUUUUCACCCGAUCUGUCCAACUUAUCACAACAAUAAAACACUAUAACGAGUUUA